rnacentral:rRNA from 1 species
AACGAACGCUGGCGGCAUGCCUAACACAUGCAAGUCGAACGAGACCUUCGGGUCUAGUGGCGCACGGGUGCGUAACGCGUGGGAACCUGCCCUUAGGUUCGGAAUAACUCCCCGAAAGGGGUGCUAAUACCGGAUAAUGUCUUCGGACCAAAGAUUUAUCGCCUUUGGAUGGGCCCGCGUUGGAUUAGCUAGUUGGUAGUGUAAAAGCCUACCAAGGCGACGAUCCAUAGCUGGUCUGAGAGGAUGAUCAGCCACACUGGGACUGAGACACGGCCCAGACUCCUACGGGAGGCAGCAGUGGGGAAUAUUGGACAAUGGGCGAAAGCCUGAUCCAGCAAUGCCGCGUGAGUGAUGAAGGCCUUAGGGUUGUAAAGCUCUUUUACACGGGAUGAUAAUGACAGUACCGGGAGAAUAAGCUCCGGCUAACUCCGUG